rnacentral:lncRNA from 1 species
AUGGCUAACAAGAGUAAGGUCCACAUCUCUUUCUGGUACAUUUUCUCUUCUUGUGUUCACCUCUUAUUAAGUUGUCUUUUUACAGAAACAAAGAUGUCUAUUUUAAUCCCUGUAUAUGCUUGUUUAGAAUUCUGUACCCCAAGAUGGCUGCCCUGCCCUCCAGUCUCUUCCAACUGCCAGCAACAGGAGGAAGCAUUUGUGCCAUCUCAACAUUGUUUGAAAACUGAGUGUUCCAGCUUUGAAAAUAUUCUCAGAUGUUCAACAGCUGUGCAACCCAAAGGACAUCCCAACAAAAGCUUUUCCAUGAAAGACAUGCUGGUUCUGUGCUUGGCAGGUGGGACAGGCUACACACAAUUUAGAGUUUAUGUAGCACUCAGGACAAUUCUGCAAUCACAAGAUUUUGUAUUUGACACCUCUGGACCAGAUGACUCUAAGCUCCCCUCCAGCUGGAAAUCUGUGAUCAAGUCCCUGUGGCAGAAAGAGAUGGAUAAUGUAUAGGUGUCUAAAUUAUUUACA